GAACGCUGGCGGCGUGCCUAAUACAUGCAAGUCGAGCGAACAGACGAGGAGCUUGCUCCUYYGACGUUAGCGGCGGACGGGUGAGUAACACGUGGAUAACCUACCUAUAAGACUGGGAUAACUUCGGGAAACCGGAGCUAAUACCGGAUAACAUGUUGAACCGCAUGGUUCAACAGUGAAAGACGGUCUUGCUGUCACUUAUAGAUGGAUCCGCGCCGCAUUAGCUAGUUGGUAAGGUAACGGCUUACCAAGGCAACGAUGCGUAGCCGACCUGAGAGGGUGAUCGGCCACACUGGAACUGAGACACGGUCCAGACUCCUACGGGAGGCAGCAGUAGGGAAUCUUCCGCAAUGGGCGAAAGCCUGACGGAGCAACGCCGCGUGAGUGAUGAAGGUCUUCGGAUCGUAAAACUCUGUUAUUAGGGAAGAACAAAUGUGUAAGUAACUAUGCACGUCUUGACGGUACCUAAUCAGAAAGCCACGGCUAACUAC
rnacentral:rRNA from 1 species